UACAGAGGGGGCAAGCGUUGUUCGGAAUUACUGGGCGUAAAGGGCGCGUAGGCGGCCUUCUAAGUCGAACGUGAAAUCCCCGGGCUCAACCCGGGAACUGCGUCCGAUACUGGAAGGCUUGAAUCCGGGAGAGGGAUGCGGAAUUCCAGGUGUAGCGGUGAAAUGCGUAGAUAUCUGGAGGAACACCGGUGGCGAAGGCGGCAUCCUGGACCGG
rnacentral:rRNA from 1 species